UGGGGAAUAUUGCACAAUGGGCGCAAGCCUGAUGCAGCCAUGCCGCGUGUAUGAAGAAGGCCUUCGGGUUGUAAAGCACUUUCAGCGGGGAGGAAGGUGGUAAGGUUAAUAACCUUAUCAAUUGACGUUACCGACAGAAGAAGCACCGGCUAACUCCGUGCCAGCAGCCGCGGUAAUACGGAGGGUGCAAGCGUUAAUCGGAAUUACUGGGCGUAAAGCGCACGCAGGCGGUUGAUUGAGUCAGAUGUGAAAUCCCCGGGCUUAACCCGGGAAUUGCAUCUGAUACUGGUCAGCUAGAGUCUUGUAGAGGGGGGUAGAAUUCCAGGUGUAGCGGUGAAAUGCGUAGAGAUCUGGAGGAAUACCGGUGGCGAAGGCGGCCCCCUGGACAAAGACUGACGCUCAGGUGCGAAAGCGUGGGGAGCAAACAGG
rnacentral:rRNA from 1 species